GUGCUUACUUUGGAAGCACAUAUACUAAAAUUAGAACAACACAGAGAAGAUUAGCAUGGCCCCUGAGCAAAGAUGAUAUUCAAAUUCAUGAAGUGUUCCAAAUACUU